ACUGUUUACCAAAAACAUAGCCCUCGGCUAAUAUGAAAAUAGAUGUAUAGAGGGUGAUGCCUGCCCAAUGGUUGUAUCUAAAAGCGGUUGAUAAAAGUUGACCUCGUAAGGACAAUUGAAUGGCCGCGGUAACACUGACCGUGAUAAUGUAGCGUAAUCAAUAGCCAAUUAAUUGUUGGCCAGUAUGAAUGGCGCCACGAAGGCCCCACUGUCUUAAGGAAAUUCCCAGUGAAAUUGAAUUCGUAGUGAAGAUGCUACGUCCAAUUUGUUAGACGAAAAGACCCCGUUGAGCUUUACUGGAGCACUUACAUGGCCCCGGCCUUCCCAUGCCUGGGAACCGGCCGAAUUUAAAUGGGCGGCUUAGAUUAUGUGGCAGCCCCCCGCUGGGGCAAAUGAAACACCACUCCCCCAUGUCAAAGGGGCUAACCCCCCCCCCUUGGGGGGGAC
rnacentral:rRNA from 1 species